rnacentral:rRNA from 1 species
UACGGAGGGUGCAAGCGUUAUCCGGAUUCACUGGGUUUAAAGGGUGCGUAGGCGGGCAGGGAAGUCAGUGGUGAAAUCUUCGAGCUUAACUCGGAAACUGCCGUUGAUACUAUCUGUCUUGAAUACUCGGGAGGUGAGCGGAAUAUGUCAUGUAGCGGUGAAAUGCUUAGAUAUGACAUAGAACACCAAUUGCGAAGGCAGCUCACUACAGAGUCAUUGACGCUGAGGCACGAAAGCGUGGGGAUCAAACAGG